CAUGCAGUCGAACGGCAGCGCGGGCUUCGGCCUGGCGGCGAGUGGCGAACGGGUGAGUAAUGCAUCGGAACGUGCCCAGUAGUGGGGGAUAGCCCGGCGAAAGCCGGAUUAAUACCGCAUACGACCUGAGGGUGAAAGCGGGGGACCGAAAGGCCUCGCGCUAUUGGAGCGGCCGAUGUCGGAUUAGCUAGUUGGUGGGGUAAAGGCUUACCAAGGCGACGAUCCGUAGCUGGUCUGAGAGGACGACCAGCCACACUGGGACUGAGACACGGCCCAGACUCCUACGGGAGGCAGCAGUGGGGAAUUUUGGACAAUGGGGGCAACCCUGAUCCAGCCAUGCCGCGUGCGGGAAGAAGGCCUUCGGGUUGUAAACCGCUUUUGUUCGGGAAGAAAUCCUCUGGGCUAAUACCCCGGGGGGAUGACGGUACCGGAAGAAUAAGCACCGGCUAACUACGUGCCAGCAGCCGCGGUAAUACGUAGGGUGCGAGCGUUAAUCGGAAUUACUGGGCGUAAAGCGUGCGCAGGCGGUUGUGCAAGACAGAUGUGAAAUCCCCGGGCUUAACCUGGGAACUGCAUUUGUGACUGCACGGCUAGAGUGCGGCAGAGGGGAGUGGAAUUCCGCGUGUAGCAGUGAAAUGCGUAGAUAUGCGGAGGAACACCGAUGGCGAAGGCAGCUCCCUGGGCCUGCACUGACGCUCAUGCACGAAAGCGUG
rnacentral:rRNA from 1 species